UGUUGUGUUAAUGGAGAAAAAUCUGCCUCAUAUGAAGCAGGAGAUAACAUCAUACAUGGUUGUAUGACUGGCAGUGCAGGAGGUGGAGUAGGUUUCAAAACAGGAGGAGGAGGACAAGAAAGUCCUUCCUUUCUGAGUAUUUCCAGUGCAAGUGCAUAGAUAGGAAGGGGUUUCUUUUGCUUAGUUUCUUCAUGAAUUCCUA
rnacentral:misc_RNA from 1 species